GAGGGUAUCACUCAGUGGUAGAGUGCGCGCUUAGCAUGCUCGAGGGCCUGGGUUCAAUCCCCAGCACCUCCA
rnacentral:tRNA from 1 species